rnacentral:tRNA from 1 species
UGAGGACGUAGUACAGGUUGGCGCCGUCCGGGUGCCCGCCGAGCAGCUCGGUGGAGAUGGUGCCCGUGCAACCCGGGUAGUCCGUGG